UACGGGAGGCAGCAGUGGGGAAUAUUGCACAAUGGGCGCAAGCCUGAUGCAGCCAUGCCGCGUGUAUGAAGAAGGCCUUCGGGUUGUAAAGUACUUUCAGUCGUGAGGAAGGUGUUAAGGUUAAUAACCUUAGCAAUUGACGUUAGCGACAGAAGAAGCACCGGCUAACUCCGUGCCAGCAGCCGCGGUAAUACGGAGGGUGCGAGCGUUAAUCGGAAUUACUGGGCGUAAAGGGCACGCAGGCGGUUAAUUAAGUUGGAUGUGAAAUCCCCGGGCUUAACCUGGGAAUGGCAUUCAAGACUGGUUAGCUAGAGUCUUGUAGAGGGGGUAGAAUUCCAUGUGUAGCGGUGAAAUGCGUAGAGAUGUGGAGGAAAUACCGGUGGCGAAGGCGGCCCCUGGACAAAAGGACUGACGCUCAUGUGCGAAAAGCGUGGGGAGCAAACAGGGAUUAGAUACC
rnacentral:rRNA from 1 species